UACGAAGGGGGCUAGCGUUGCUCGGAUUGACUGGGCGUAAAGGGCGCGUAGGCGGUUCGGCCAGUCAGACGUGAAAUUCCUGGGCUCAACCUGGGGGCUGCGUUUGAUACGUGCGGACUUGAGUGCGGAAGAGGGUCGUGGAAUUCCCAGUGUAGAGGUGAAAUUCGUAGAUAUUGGGAAGAACCCCGGUGGCGAAGGCGGCGACCUGGUCCGAUACUGACGCUGAGGCGCGAAAGCGUGGGGAGCAAACAGG
rnacentral:rRNA from 1 species